AAAAUACGACCACACAUAUUGUGAAUUUUAAUACAAAUAUUGUACCGUAUAUAAUAUGACAAUAUCCAAACUCAAAUUAAGUUUUCAUUACAUUUAUUGUCACACUGUUUUAUAGAAUAGUGAUGACUAUUAUAAUAACCAUCUCGGACCAUUACUUCACUCCCCGACUAGUCCCAGCUACACUCUCAUUUCCUGAGAAGAACAAUGAAAUAAAAAGAAAAAGGGUGAACUCAAAUAGCC
rnacentral:lncRNA from 1 species